UGUAGGCAAGGGAAGUCGGC
rnacentral:sRNA from 1 species